rnacentral:rRNA from 1 species
GGGGUAACGGCCUACCAAGGCGACGACGGGUAGCCGGCCUGAGAGGGCGACCGGCCACACUGGGACUGAGACACGGCCCAGACUCCUACGGGAGGCAGCAGUGGGGAAUAUUGCGCAAUGGGCGAAAGCCUGACGCAGCGACGCCGCGUGCGGGAUGAAGGCCUUCGGGUUGUAAACCGCUUUCAGCAGGGACGAAGCGAAAGUGACGGUACCUGCAGAAGAAGCGCCGGCUAACUACGUGCCAGCAGCCGCGGUAACACGUAGGGCGCAAGCGUUGUCCGGAAUUAUUGGGCGUAAAGAGCUCGUAGGUGGUUCGCCACGUCUGUUGUGAAAAUCCARGGCUCAACCCUGGACUUGCUGCGGAUACGGGUGAACUAGAGGUAGGUAGGGGAGACUGGAAUUCCCGGUGUAGCGGUGAAAUGCGCAGAUAUCGGGAGGAACACCGGUGGCGAAGGCGGKUCUCUGGG